rnacentral:rRNA from 1 species
AUACGUAGGGUGCGAGCGUUGUCCGGAAUUACUGGGCGUAAAGAGCUCGUAGGUGGUUUGUCGCGUCGUCUGUGAAAUUCCGGGGCUUAACUCCGGGCGUGCAGGCGAUACGGGCAUAACUUGAGUACUGUAGGGGAGACUGGAAUUCCUGGUGUAGCGGUGAAAUGCGCAGAUAUCAGGAGGAACACCGGUGGCGAAGGCGGGUCUCUGGGCAGUAACUGACGCUGAGGAGCGAAAGCAUGGGUAGCGAACAGGAUUAGAUACCCUGGUAGUCCAUGCCGUAAACGGUAGGCGCUAGGUGUAGGGGUCUUCCACGACUUCUGUGCCGUAGCUAACGCAUUAAGCGCCCCGCCUGGGGAGUACGGCCGCAAGGCUAAAACUCAAAUGAAUUGACGGGG